CGGGGGUGGAGGGGGUGGAAUCCACAAGAGGGCGGCGGCGGGGGCGGGGGCGGAGGCGGCGGCGGCUCCCGUCCGCAAGGCCAACAAGGCGCGCAGCAAGCUCUGCGAGAUCAUCUAGUGCCCGCGCGGCUCGGCACGAGAACACUGCAUAGCCCCAGUGCCGUUCCCAAAGGAUAGAGAAGUAAGGCUGAUACAAACUAGAGAGGAAGUAGAUUUCCAGACUGCUUCACGACCAAAAAAAAAAGACAGCCAGUUACCUACAACGUUCGUUCUACGAUAUUUGAUGGCUGUCCCGGAAGACUUACAAUAA